rnacentral:misc_RNA from 1 species
UAACAGCUGAAAGGAGGUGAUCCAGUGUCGAGAGAGGUAUUGGAGAGAGGUGUCGGAACAGUUCGGGAGGCACACAUCUAGGGCAGCCCCUGGGUGUUGAACCCACUGAAUUGGUAGGAACCUAACCGGGACCCACCUCCUUAAGUCUCGAAGGGUCGCCGCAUCGGCGACCCU